CUUUUAGAGGUUGCUUCCUUUGGAAUCUUUUUAGUGAACUGAGGAUAAGGAAACUGCAGGAUGCCACUGAGAACUCGGAGUUAUAUGUUCAUUGAAGCCUUAAGCAACAGGAUUUUCUGGAAGAUGCUUUGAUGAACCUGAGGCAUUGUCGCUGAAUUCAAAGCACAACAUUUGUGAGAUGGUCCCAUGUUUGGCACCAUAAUUAAAAGGAACAAAGCAGUACCUUCAGAAUAGAGUCUGAGGAGGGAAGAAGAGAGAGUCCAGUAAUCCGACUUAAUUCCUUAACGUUUCAAAGGGGUUCUGCUUUUCUCCUUCCAAGCAAGUUCCCACACAUGACCUGAAACAGCUGGUAGACUCCAAUAAUUGCCUAGGUUUGCAAGGAAAAGAGCAUUUGAGACUGUAUAGCUCUCUACUGACUGGUGCAGUCACUUUCUGAUGACAGGAAAGAAGCUGAUGUAGCCUCAUCAGAAAACCAAAUAUGUUAAACUUUAAAUGAUGUUCUUAUUUGUUUUGAUACCUAUACAAAGCUGCACUAAAAGGCUUUAUGAUGUUCUUUGCAGAAAACUAUUCUUGAAUGUGUUUACACUAUGGGCAUGCUAAAAUGUUUAAAAUGUUUUCUUAAUUUAACCUUCAUGUUAUUAUAUAUGAUGGACUUGAGCAAAUAUCAAAAGCAGAUUGAGGGACUUAAAAAUUUUUGCUGUCACAGGAAAGUAAGCUGCUCUAUUGUACUGGUGCUAACCUGACAGCUUUCGAGUGUGUUUUAGUUUUUUUUUUUUUUCCUUUAUCUCACAUGGAUUGAAACAUUGCAGCCUAACUCAUGUGUAUUAAGUACAGGGAGGUUAUAGGCACAUGGGAAAACUAUGAAAAAGAGCAAGCAGUCUAAAUCUGGGAAGAGCUGGGAGACAACUUUAAAGUUAAAUGUUUUCCAAAGGCUUCCUGAAUGCCACAGACUUGGGGUUGUGGCCUUGCCCUGGGGAUCUUGUUACAGUGCCCAGCCACCUUCUGUUGAAUAACCCUUUCCUAACCUGCAACUUGACCCUUCCCUGACACAGCGCCAUGCAGUUCCCUCAGGUGAUGUUGCUGCUGCCAGAGAGCAGAGAUCAGUGCUGCUCUUCUGCUUCCCUCACGAGGAGCUGUAGGCUGCCAUCAGGCCUCCUGUCCACCUUCUCUGCUCUGGGCUGAGCAAAGCAGGGGACUUCAGCUGCUCCUCGUCCAUCUUGCCCUCCAGACCCUUCAUCUCCGUGGCUCUCCUUUGGACUCUGAUAUAGUUUUAUGUCCUCCUUAUAUUCUGGUCCCCAAGCCUACACACGGUAUUCAGGUUGCCUUAUCCCAAGUGCAGAAUCCAGCACUUGAUUUUGUUGAAGCCUGUGCAGCUCACCCUCACCAAGCCCUCCAAUUUGUAACAAUCUCUCAGCAAGGCCUCUGUAGCCUAGAGGGAAUCAACACCUCUUCCCAAUAUAGUGUCAUCCAUAAACUUAGUAUGCAUUCAAGUCCUGCAUCCAAGUCAUUUAUAAAAACAUUGAAGAGAACUGAUCCUAAAGUGGAAUCAUGAGGCUGCACUAGUGACUGGCUGCUGGCUUGAUCUAACUCUGUUUAUUACAAUCCUUUGGACCUGACUCAUCCACUAAGUGCUCACCCAUUUUAUUGUGCUUUUUUUUUAUUGUCCAUAUGCUGGACAUUUUCUCACUGGAAUAUAGCGAGAAACUGUCAAAAGCUUUACUGAAAUCCAAAAAGAUAGUACCAACUUGUUUCCCUUGGUCAGCUAGAUGGGUGACCUUGUCAUAAAAUGAAAAUAAGUUAGUUAAACAGGACCUUCUCCUCAUGAACCUGUGUUGACUGUGACCAAUGGCCACGUUGUCCUUCAGUUGUUUUUUAGUAGCUCCAAACAUUAAUUUCUCCAUAAUUUUUUCCAGGUUCUUUAAUAAAACUGACAGGCCUGUAAUUACCAGGGUCAUCUUUCUUGCCCUUCUUGAAAACUGAACUUUUGCCAAAUUCCAGUCAACUGGGGUCUCUCUGAAUUCCCAAUACCAUUGCAAAAAAAUAGAGAAAGGUCUCAUGAUGAUAUCAGUCAGCUCUUUGAGUACCUUGGGAUGAAUCCCAUUGGGUCCCAUAGACUCAUAUGCAUUCAGGUGGAGCAGCAAAUCCUGCACGAGUUUGGAGUUGUCUGGGAGUUGAUCAUUACUGCAGUCACAGUCCUCCAGUUUAGGGCACCUGGAGUGUGACCAUUCUCAUCAAGUAGUGCACCAAUGUUCUCUCUAGUCCUCUUUUUCUUGUUAAUGUAUUUUUAAAAAAAUCCAUUUUAUUUUUCCCCAAUGUUAUUGGCUAGCUUCUACUCAACCUGAGCUUUGGCUGCACAACUUUUUUUUUCCCUACAAAGACAAACAGCAUCCCUGUAGUCCUCCCAUGUUUCCUGGCCUUGCUUCCAGUAGCUUAUUUUUCUGCCUAAGCUCAGGUUAUUUUCUCUAUUUGUGUUCUAUCAUUCCUCUUGUUUCCCCUGUAUUAGUAUCCCAUUCCCAACUAAGUCAGUGGUAGUGCCUCCUUUGCUUUAAGUCUCUCUCUCUCUAUAAAUACAUUAUGGUGAAAUUCAUUUUUUGUGCAAGGUCUUCAAAGCUACAAGUCAAAUAUCUGGUGUUGCUAUGAUCUUGAGAGGAAGUUAGUGUUGCAAAGUGAGAGCACUAAAUCUUUCACUUGAUAGAAAUAAUCAUCUGUCUAACAACAACAAAAUCCCCAAACCACAAUUUUUUGAAACUUGCAAUAGUUCAUACCUGGAGUGCUGGUGCCACUUCUGGGCCCCCACUGCAGAGGCCUGGAGGUACUCAAAGAAAGCCCAACAAAAUCCAUAUGUAGGGACUGGGAAAAGCUGACCAAAAAUAAUGCUAUUGCCUAGUUUGUGUUGAAACCCAACUAAAUGUAGUUGUCUGAUCAUUUAGCACAAAGAACAGGGCCUGAUAGGUUUUUAUAUCAAAUGUGAAUUAGUGAUGAAUGUGAUUUAUGCUUUGCGUUACUGACAAGGAAGAUGUGCUUCUGCUUUUUUGACAGUGGUUGUGGUGUGACCAAGAGCUUGGCCAGAUGGUAUACAUUCUUCCAAGUUCCACUGCCAGUAGAUUAACUAGACUUAACUUGUUAUCUAACAAUAUGAGAUCUGACAGUUCAUCAUGCAAAGCGAAAACUGUGAAGCUAUAAUCCUGAAGAAUCCUUGUUUUAAGAAAUCUUUUUUUCUUUUUACAGAAACUUUCUUCCCCUGAUUAGGCUGAGAAAUCUUUAGGCCUGAUUUCUAAUCCUUAAUAUCCUGUUUGUAGUUUCUACACCAUGCUAACUUCCUUAAUUUGUAAUUCUCACUUUUGUUGCAAGAGCAUUCCACUGUACUCAUAUUUGUUUUUUGUCUGUAUUACUCUUGAUUUUGAAUGUCUUUUUGUAUAAUUAUAUUUUAUGGCAAAGCAUCACUGGAUUCUCUGGCUCCUCUGUUAUUCCCUUUGAUUUUUGAACUCUUAGAAAAACUAGUAUGGUUAGAACAAUGCAAACAUCUGCUUUCUGUGUAGGAUUUUUGUAAUAGGCAAGCAAGGCCUGAUUUAUUUUAUUUUGUCCAGUUGGACAAUAUUGUCCAA